AUUGAACGCUGGCGGAAUGCUUUACACAUGCAAGUCGAACGGUAGAGGGGGCAACCCCUUGAGAGUGGCGAACGGGUGAGUAAUAUAUCGGAACGUGCCCAGUCGUGGGGAUAACGUAGCGAAAGUUACGCUAAUACCGCAUACGAUCUACGGAUGAAAGCGGGGGACUCGCAAGAGCCUCGCGCGAUUGGAGCGGCCGAUAUCAGAUUAGGUAGUUGGUGGGGUAAAGGCUCACCAAGCCAACGAUCUGUAGCUGGUCUGAGAGGACGACCAGCCACACUGGAACUGAGACACGGUCCAGACUCCUACGGGAGGCAGCAGUGGGGAAUUUUGGACAAUGGACGCAAGUCUGAUCCAGCCAUUCCGCGUGCAGGAUGAAGGCCCUCGGGUUGUAAACUGCUUUGUACGGAACGAAAAGGUUCUAUUAAUACUAGGAGCUCAUGACGGUACCGUAAGAAUAAGCACCGGCUAACUACGUGCCAGCAGCCG
rnacentral:rRNA from 1 species